GUUGGUGUUGAUGACGCAGGGGGUCCACCCGUUCCCAUACCGAACACGGAAGUUAAGCCCUGUAGUGCCGAAAAUAGUAGUCUGGCGACGGGCUGUGAAAAUAGGAAGAUGCCAACA
rnacentral:rRNA from 1 species